UACAGAGGUCUCAAGCGUUGUUCGGAUUCAUUGGGCGUAAAGGGUGCGUAGGUGGCGCUGUAAGUCGGGUGUGAAAUUUCGGAGCUUAACUCCGAAACUGCAUUCGAUACUGCGGUGCUUGAGGACUGGAGAGGAGACUGGAAUUCAUGGUGUAGCAGUGAAAUGCGUAGAGAUCAUGAGGAAGACCAGUGGCGAAGGCGGGUCUCUA
rnacentral:rRNA from 1 species